rnacentral:rRNA from 1 species
GAUGAACGCUGGCGGCGUGCCUAAUACAUGCAAGUCGAGCGAAUGGAUUAAGAGCUCGCUCUUAUGAAGUUAGCGGCGGACGGGUGAGUAACACGUGGGUAACCUGCCCAUAAGACUGGGAUAACUCCGGGAAACCGGGGCUAAUACCGGAUAACAUUUUGAAUCGCAUGGAUCGAUAUUGAAAGGCGGCUUCGGCUGUCACUUAUGGAUGGACCCGCGUCGCAAUUGCUAGUUGGUGGGGUAACGGCUCACCAAGGCAACGAUGCGUAGCCGACCUGAGAGGGUGAUCGGCCACACUGGGACUGAGACACGGCCCAGACUCCUACGGGAGGCAGCAGUAGGGGAUCUUCCGCAAUGGACGAAAGUCUGACGGAGCAACGCCGCGUGAGUGAUGAAGGCUUUCGGGUCGUAAAACUCUGUUGUUAGGGAAGAACAAGUGCUAGUUGAAUAAGCUGACACCUUGACGGUACCUAACCAGAAAGCCACGGCUAACUACGUGCCAGCCGCCGCGGUAA